rnacentral:rRNA from 1 species
GAAAAGAAACCAACAGGGAUUCCCCCAGUAGCGGCGAGCGAAGCGGGAACAGCUCAAGCUUUAAAUCGGGGGUCCAAGGGGCCUUUCGAAUUGUAGCCUUUCGAGCGCCGGUUGCCGGGUCGAUCGUGUGAGUACGGAGUCCCCUGGAACGGGGCGUCUUAGAGGGUGAGAACCCCAUGACGGACUCAUCGGUCGGUUCGACUGCAUCCGGUGUUCGGCGAGUCGGGUAGUUUGAGAUUGCUGCCUCAAUGGGUGGUAGAUUUCAUCCAAAGCUAAAUACGGGUGGGAGACCGAUAGCGAACAAGUACCGUGAGGGAAAGGUGAAAAGAACUUUGGAAAGAGAGUUAAAAGCGCUUGAAAUCGUC